AGAGUUUGAUCAUGGCUCAGGAUGAACGCUGGCGGCGUGCUUAACACAUGCAAGUCGAGCGGAGCUCAAAUGCGGAUCCCCUUCGGGGGUGAAACAUCUGAGCUUAGCGGCGGACGGGUGCGUAACGCGUGGGUAAUCUGCCCUUGUCACCGGGAUAACACAUCGAAAGGUGUGCUAAUACCGGAUGAAAUACAGACCUGGCAUCGGGACUAUAUCAAAGUCAUGCGGACAAGGAUGAGCCUGCGUCUGAUUAGCUUGUUGGUGGGGUAAAAGCCUACCAAGGCGACGAUCAGUAGCCGACCUGAGAGGGUGAUCGGCCACACUGGAACUGAGACACGGUCCAGACUCCUACGGGAGGCAGCAGUGGGGAAUACUGCACAAUGGGCGCAAGCCUGAUGCAGCAACGCCGCGUGAGUGAUGAAGGCCUUCGGGUCGUAAAACUCUGUCCUAAGGGAAGAUAAUGACGGUACCUUAGGAGGAAGCCCCGGCUAACUACGUGCCAGCAGCCGCGGUAAUACGUAGGGGGCAAGCGUUAUCCGGAAUUACUGGGCGUAAAGGGUGCGUAGGUGGCCUGACAAGUCAGGGGUCAAAGGCAACGGCUCAACCGUUGUAAGCCCUUGAAACUGUCGGGCUUGAGUUCAGGAGAGGAAAGCGGAAUUCCUAGUGUAGCGGUGAAAUGCGUAGAUAUUAGGAGGAACACCAGUGGCGAAGGCGGCUUUCUGGACUGAUACUGACACUGAGGCACGAAAGCGUGGGGAGCAAACAGGAUUAGAUACCCCGGUAGU
rnacentral:rRNA from 1 species